rfam:Dermacoccus nishinomiyaensis strain M25, complete genome.
AUACGAGCCGUCUCCGUUAGGCUCGGGCACGGUCGUCAGGUGAUGGAACCCGGUGCGAAUCCGGGACGGUCCCGCCACUGUGUGUCCGACGCGUGCGUCGGCGAGUCAGGAACGCCCUGACGAUCGACUCCCGUG